GACGAACGCUGGCGGCGUGCUUAACACAUGCAAGUCGAACGGAAAGGCCCUGCUUUUGUGGGGUGCUCGAGUGGCGAACGGGUGAGUAACACGUGAGUAACCUGCCCUUGACUUUGGGAUAACUUCAGGAAACUGGGGCUAAUACCGGAUAGGAGCUCCUGCUGCAUGGUGGGGGUUGGAAAGUUUCGGCGGUUGGGGAUGGACUCGCGGCUUAUCAGCUUGUUGGUGGGGUAGUGGCUUACCAAGGCUUUGACGGGUAGCCGGCCUGAGAGGGUGACCGGCCACAUUGGGACGGAGAUACGGCCCAGACUCCUACGGGAGGCAACAGUGGGGAAUAUUGCACAAUGGGCGGAAGCCUGAUGCAGCAACGCCGCGUGCGGGAUGACGGCCUUCGGGUUGUAAACCGCUUUCGCCUGUGACGAAGCGUGAGUGACGGUAAUGGGUAAAGAAGCACCGGCUAACUACGU
rnacentral:rRNA from 1 species